rnacentral:tRNA from 1 species
GGAGUGAUGCCGAAGUGGUCAUAACGGUGCUGACUCGAAAUCAGUUGGAGGCUUUGUCUCACGUGGGUUCGAAUCCCACUCACUCCGCCA